rnacentral:rRNA from 1 species
UACGAAGGGGACUAGCGUUGCUCGGAAUCACUGGGCGUAAAGCGCACGUAGGCGGACUCUUAAGUCGGUGGUGAAAUCCUGGAGCUCAACUCCAGAACUGCCUUCGAUACUGGGAGUCUCGAGUUCGGGAGAGGUGAGUGGAACUGCGAGUGUAGAGGUGAAAUUCGUAGAUAUUCGCAAGAACACCAGUGGCGAAGGCGGCUCACUGGCCCGUAACUGACGCUGAGGCACGGAAAGCGUGGGGAGCCAAACAGGG